GGGGAUGAUGAUGAUGAAGAAGAAGAACUUGAUUUUUAUACCCCAUUUUUCUUGGCNGAAGCUGACUCAAAGCGGCUUACAAGGUUAUUUUUUACCCGAAGGCUUACAUCUAUCUUCCGCAUCACACAAGUGAUGCUCCCUAUUUAUCUACUUGCAAUUACUUGCUUUCGAACAGCUAGGUUGACUGGAGCUAGAGGUCAGUAGAGGGCGCUCAUCCCCUCUACACGGCAGACAAGGGCCCCGAACUCUGAUCCUCCUAUUGAAGUUCAGGAACAUCUGGAGGACUGNGAGUGAGCAGACCUGGGCUAACGUUUCUGCUGUUGCUGGUAAAUGGCUUAACUGUAAUAAUGUACCAAAUGAAGAUUUCCCAUUGUUUUAUCUUCCAAUAGGAGGAAGUGUAGGAAAAAGAAAUUCUUCAUAUCACCAGGUUUUCCCACUAUAUAAUGGCACAUGGAAACUGUCUGAUCCUGAAAGACAAAGCAAAUGACACAGUUGUUUCCAGGAGCAAAAGAGAAUGAAAUAUGUAGAAUGGGCUUCUUCACCACCACCACCAACACCACCAUCAUCAUUAUUGUUGUUGUUCUGGCAAAUAUUCUUUUUCUCUUCCAUCCAAGUGACUGUCCACACAGAAGCACAGAUCAGUUUAGGUCAGGCUACGUUGUGAGCAGCUCCCAUGAUGCAUCCCACAAUCAGCUUUCAAUGCAUUCCAAAGUGCCAUUUCAGGAGUCUCCAAACUACCUUAAAAUAGCCCGAAAAUGUCUUUUCUUACUGUGUGUCAUUCCCAAGUUUCACUGGUUUUGAUUUACUUUGGGUGUUAUGGGCAUUACUACGAACACAUCUAUAGUAGGUGUGCAUACACAUAACACGCAAAGGACAUGUAUCUCUGGACUUUGGACUAUACAGCUGUAUGGGUGUUCUAACCAUGGCUUGCUCGUGGAAGGCAACUUGAAAGCAUUAUAAAGGAAAAGCCAUCUUGGAAGAAAAGACAAACCCCAUUUUGAAAUUGAGACUUUUUUCCUUCACACCUCCAUCUUCAUUUUAAGACAGAAGAAGUUUUCUGUAGACUGGAAAACCCUAGAAGCAUGUUGCAGGAGCACCUGGACUCUGCUUUUGUUUUGUUAACAUUGUCUUCACACUUGGCACAAUGCUCUUAGCGCAGCAAUGCUCUUUAAACUUCUCUUAGCAGUACCCUUGCCAUUGUGUCACACCAUUGUAACUUUGCUUUUUAUCUUUGAACCUGCCUGAUCACUAUAUUAUUAUCAAAGCCUGUUAUCUUGUUGAUGGCUGUUGCAGCCACUCAAUAAAUUGCUUCUUAUCCUUUUUAUUGUUUGAAAU
rnacentral:lncRNA from 1 species